UGCCCCGGCUCGGGGCCGCGGUAGCUGCGAAGCCCCGGCGCCUCGAGGCGCCUCGAGGCGCGGCGCGCGGCUCUCGGACCCCCGCAGAGCUGCCGGAGCGGCCGCUGCCUGAGGGAGUCGGGGGCUGUGCGGUGUCCCCGCGCUGAGGCCGCAGCCGGAGAGUGAUUUAGUGAGCGGGAAGCGCGGCCUGCUCCUCAGAGCAGCGCGGGGCGGUGAUCCAGGUGUCUGUUGAGCUCCAAUACCAGCCCUGAGCCUUCAGUGCCUUGGCAGGCAGUCUGCAUGCUGGGGACAGAGUUCCAGUACUGUUUGAUGCUCUUUGGAACAGUGCCACUGGAGAAGCAGAUCCAUUACAACCUGUGGUGUGCAAAGUCUGGCUUUGGAGCUGGGGUAUACAGUGCAGACAACGUGUCAGUGAUUGGAGUAGUCUUCCUGCAUGUGGCAGCAGGACUCCACAGAUGCUAGACAGUGCUCCUUAGCUACAUCUUCCUUGCUACCUUCCACAGCAGUGGUGGGUCUGAGCUGCUGUGCGGCUUUAUCCUCAAGCAGUGCAACAGCAACACCCAGGUGUCAGCAUCCCCAUGAUGUCAGACGCCACUGCCCUAACAAAGGCACUGCUGCCAUGGGUGGCAGUUGAUGUCAUCUCAAUGGAGCCCGUGUUCCUGCAUCCAGCCACUCAUGUUGGAGUUCACAUACUUCUGUGAUCCUCACUACUUCUCACCUUUGGCCACAUCAUGCUUCAGGCUCUGGAACCUUUCAGAAAGGAGCUAAAAAGCUGAAGCCAGGAGGAACUACAUGAAACCAUCAGCACAAUGAACAGCAUUGCUGUUGGUACAGCAGUGCUAGGAAAGUCCUGAUGGAAAGAAUGAAACAAGGCACGGGACAGCAUUUCUUUCCAGUUUCCCCAUCCCCACAGGUAGGCACCCAAUAGUUACAGUCACUGAUUCAGAGCUGUGUCCAACAAGGUAUACCACUGGAGAGUGGUGUAACACAGGAACACUGAUAUUUACAGGUGUGCUCACCUCUCUGAAGAGGGGCCAGUUCACCUUUACAGCUAGAGACUGCCAACUAAUACAGAUCCUCCAAGAAGCCCAUGUACCUAAGAUGACUUCUACUCAGCAGAACACCCCUUAGAGAUACUUAUCCUACUGCUGUGAUCACACCCUCGGUAGGGUCACCUGACUGGUAAACAAACAGCAAACCAGCAUUUCCCAGCCGCUCCCUAAGGACUGACGCCUACCAGGACUGCCUAAUGCAGUUUUGAGAAAGACUCCAGAUGAUCUCUCCAGGCAGGGGGAGGUCAGAGGGCCAUCAGGCAGAACAGUAACUGCACACAAAGGUCACUUCAGCUAUGUGCAAGCCUUCAACAGAAGCUUGUCUCCAAAACAGUAAUUCUCUAGAGAUUGUGUAGCUGACCGUUAGCAAAGUUCUCCUUGACUAUAUGGAAGUAUUAAGAUGCAGACAAGAUCCUCAUCCUCUUAAAGGAGGAUGAUUCCUUUAAGUCUGUGCGAUGUUUCACUGCACUGUCUGGUUUCACCUUCUUCAUAUUGGUCUCCUCCAAAUUCAGGCCAAGCUAAUAUCCUGUGAAUAGAUACCCUGCUAUACCCUUCCUCCCUUUUUUUUUUUAUUUUAAACUCUAUUUUUCACAUGUUCAGACAGAACAAAGUACCUUCCAUAUCCAUUAGCUACUCCCUGUUCAGUUCUCAGAGGUCAAUGCUACAGGACAAGCUUCUGCCAACAUAUCAUUGCUGAUCUAAAGGAUAAGAUUCCUAACCAACAUGCUGUACCAGGCAGAAACCACUGCACCAAGAAAAAUUUCCUUUUCUACUCCCAUAGGAUGUAGGAAAUCUCUAAUAUUAAAGGAAACACAGAUCUGUCCUGGUUAACAUAAUAGUAUGAGAUAAUAUUAAUAAAAGAGUGCGUUGGGCUAUCAAAGUCCAUGCUAUUUUUUCCUCAGUUGUUCUUCCUAUGAGAAACUUUGCUUAUAAUUGCUGUAUGUUUACAACAGUUGCUAGAAUAAUCGUGACAUGCAUGCUGCAGCUAUAUUUAACAGGCAGCUUCUAAUAAGAGCAGAGGGAAGUUUGAUAAGAGCUACUAGGAAUUGCGCUACAGCAGCCUGAUUUCUUAGCUUAGUGAACAGCAUAGGACCUGUUUCACACAAUCAGCCUGCCUGCUUCCCAGUUCUCACAGAGCCAGAGAAAGCACUGUCAGAGCAAGGAGUUAACCCAUGCAGACAGGGUGCCUCCAAGCUCACUGUCCCACUCUCCAAGCCUCUUCAGCUGCUUGCUUUCACACUGCCUACUUCCUAUCCUGUUGCGUCAGUCUCUGCAAAUAGAUGCCAAGCUUGCCAGCAAAUUCGUGCAUCAGCAACUCACUUUUGUUGCUGUUCUCUUCUGCUUAACUGUUGUAAACAAGCUAUUUCUUCCUAAAUUGCUUAGACCCCAAUAAAAGCUGUUAUCUCUUC